rnacentral:rRNA from 1 species
GACGAACGCUGGCGGCGUGCCUAAUACAUGCAAGUCGAACGAGAGCAACCGGUGCUUGCACUGGUCAAUCUAGUGGCGAACGGGUGAGUAACACGUGGGUAACCUGCCCAUCAGACGGGGAUAACAUCCGGAAACGGAUGCUAAAACCGCAUAGGUCUUCGAACCGCAUGGUUUGAAGAGGAAAAGAGGCGCAAGCUUCUGCUGAUGGAUGGACCCGCGGUGCAUUAGCUAGUUGGUGAGGUAACGGCACACCAAGGCCGUGAUGCAUAGCCGACCUGAGAGGGUGAUCGGCCACAUUGGGACUGAGACACGGCCCAAACUCCUACGGGAGGCAGCAGUAGGGAAUCUUCCGCAAUGGACGCAAGUCUGACGGAGCAACGCCGCGUGAGUGAAGAAGGUCUUCGGAUCGUAAAACUCUGUUGUUAGAGAAGAACAAGUGCUGGAGUAACUGUUAGCGCCUUGACGGUAUCUAAACAGAAAGCCACGGCUAACUACGUG